rnacentral:rRNA from 1 species
UACGUAGGUGGCAAGCGUUGUCCGGAUUUACUGGGCGUAAAGAGCGCGCAGGCGGUUGGUCAAGUCGGGUGUGAAAGCCCCCGGCUCAACUGGGGAGGGUCACGCGAUACUGAUCGACUCGAAGGCAGGAGAGGGUAGUGGAAUUCCCGGUGUAGUGGUGAAAUGCGUAGAUAUCGGGAGGAACACCAGUGGCGAAGGCGACUACCUGGCCUGUUUCUUGACGCUGAGGCGCGAAAGCUAGGGGAGCAAACGGG